UUGACCACAGCCGGUGUAACUGCACAUACUACAGUCGCCAUCCAUCCAGUAUCUUCUAAAUCUAAUACUCUGCCCGUUGAUCCACACUUGACCCUUGUCCGCAUGUCCAAAGCCAAUGGGGGGUUCAUUUCCCAGAGCCAGAGGUGCGUCUAAAUAGGCCAGGCCAGAACGUACAUACAAAGCUACUUUAACAUGAUUAUGUCCACGUGGAUGAAUACGAUUGGCAUCUCUAGCUCUUCCACAAUCCACUGUCCAGCGAGUUCCACAGGGAUCACACACACACUGUGAGGAGCUAGCUCCUCAAUCUUUGCUUUGCUGCGCUCUCUCCGGUCAUGAACUGAAAGAUCAAAUCUUUUAUUUACAGCUCCAUCUUCCAAAAAUGGAGAAUUUCACUCUCCCAUGCCAAUCAAACCCUCUCAUUCCCAUAAUACCCUCCAAACCAGGCAACCCAUCAAGACCCGCCGUCACUUUCUCCAGGAAAACCCGCCCAAAUCCACCCGUAGACAAUUUGAACCUCCUCUGCAGGAACGGCCAGUUCACCGAGGCCAUCGCCGUUCUCAACUCCCUUGCCCAAAGUGGGUCCAAGGUACCGCCCACUACUUACAUGAACUUACUUCAGUGCUGCAUUGACACCAAUUCUAUUCAACUGGGCCGGAAACUCCAUCAGAAUAUUGAUGUGGUUGAUAAGGUGAACCCCUUUGUGGAGACAAAGCUGGUGAGCAUGUACGCGAAAUGUGGCUUCUUGGAAGAUGCACGCAAGGUGUUCGACGGAAUGCGUGAGAGGAAUUUGUACUCUUGGUCGGCCAUGAUCGGUGCGUGUCUCAGAGACCGGAGGUGGAAUGAGGUGGUGGAGCUUUUUGUGUUGAUGGUGAGAGACGGAGUUUUGCCGGACUACUUUCUGUUUCCGAAGGUGUUGCAGGCCUGUGGGAACUGUUGUGAUUUCGAGGCCUCCAAAAUGAUACAUUCCAUGCUGGUGAGGUGCAAUUUGAGCGGGACUAUACAUAUAAACAAUUCGGUAUUGGCGGUUUACGCCAAGUGUGGGAAGUUGAAGUGGGCGAGGAAGUUUUUUGAGAAAAUGGAGGUGAGGGAUGGGGUGAGUUGGAACACUAUUAUAUCUGGUUAUUGCCAGAAUGGUGAGAAUGAAGAAGCUCGGAGGCUGAUUGAUGCAAUGAUCAAACAGGGGAUUGAACCGGGGUUGGUCACUUGGAAUAUAUUGAUUUCUAGUUUUAAUAAGUCGGGGCAGUGUGAUGUUGCGAUGGAACUGAUGAAGAAGAUGGAGAACUGUGGGAUCACUCCUGAUGUGUAUACUUGGACUUCUAUGAUUUCGGGGUUUGCUCAGAACAACAGGACGAAUCAGGCAUUGGAUUUGUGGAAGAAGAUGCUUUUGUCAGGGCUACAAGUACAACCAAAUGGCAUUACUAUUGCUAGUGCAAUCUCAGCUUGCACAUCUUUGAAAUCACUGACCAAAGGUUUGGAAAUUUAUGCUUUUGCUGUGAAGAUGGGACUCAUUGAUGAUGUACUCAUUGGAAAUUCGCUCAUUGACAUGUUUUCAAAGUGUGGGGACCUGGAAGCUGCUGAGCAAGUCUUUACUAUGAUCUCAGAUAAAGACGUCUACACUUGGAACUCCAUGAUAGGAGGAUAUUGCCAAGCUAGGUACUGUGGUAAGGCCUAUGAACUGUUCAUGAAGAUGCAGGAAUCAGAUGUACAUCCUAAUGCCAUCACGUAUAAUGUGAUGAUCACAGGGUACAUUCAGAAUGGAGAUGCUGAUCAAGCAAUGGAUCUCUUCCAAAUGAUGGAACGAGAUGGGAAAGUUAAGCGGAAUACAGCAUCGUGGAACUCUCUUAUUGCUGGUUUUGCUCAACUUGGGGAAAUAAAUGAGGCACUUAGGAUAUUCAGGAAGAUGCAGGCCUUCAGUGUUAGCCCCAAUUCAGUUACUUUGUUGAGUAUCCUGCCCGCUUGUGGGAGUUUAGUUGCCAUGAAAAAGGUGAAAGAGAUCCAUGGUAGUGUAUUUCGAAGAAAUUUGGAGUCUGAAGUCCCUGUUGCAAAUUCUCUGAUAGACACAUAUGCAAAAUCAGGAAACAUAGAGUAUUCAAGAACCAUAUUUGAUAGACUGUCAUCGAAAGAUAUUAUUACCUGGAACUCGGCAAUUUCUGGUUAUGUUUUACAUGGUCAUCCAGAUAUUGCACUUGAUCUUUUUGACCAGAUGAAGAAGUUGGGGCUAAAACCAAAUAGAGGUACCUUUGCUAGUAUUCUAUAUGCCUACAGUCUUGCUGGGCUGGUAAACGAGGGGACAGAAGCUCUUUCUAGCAUCAGUGAAGACUAUCAAAUAAUACCGGGUCCAGAACAUUAUUCAGCUAUUGUAGACCUAUAUGGACGUUCGGGUAGGCUUCAAGCAGCAACGGGGUUUAUUGAAGAUAUGCCGAUAGAACCAGACUCCUCUGUUUGGGCUGCCUUACUUACAGCAUGCAGGAUUCAUGGGAACCUUGGCUUGGCAAUUCAUGCAGGGGAGCGCUUAAUUGACUUGGAACCAGCGAAUGUUCUGAUUCAACAGUUUUUAUUACAGGCAUAUGCUUUAUCCGGGAAGCCGGAUGAUACCUCAAAGUUGAGAAGGUUUGGAAAAGAGAAUGCAACAAUAAAAAGAUCUCUUGGUCAGUGCUGGAUGGAAGUCAACAACACAGUGCAUACGUUUGUUGCAGGUGAUAGGUCGAAAUUAUGCUCAAAGUAUGUAAACUCGUGGUUACAAGACAUAGCAGAAAAGGCAAAAGGACCUGGUUUUCGUUGUGGGCUUGGUGUUGAGGAUGAAGAGGAGGGAAUCAGCAUGGUCCACAGUGAAAAACUUGCACUUGCUUUUGCUCUCAUUGGCUCUCCAUCUCUACCCAAAAGUAUCAGGAUAGUAAAAGAUCUGAGAAUGUGUGGAGAUUGCCACAGGACAGCUAAAUAUAUAUCAAUCGCUUUUGGAUGUGAUAUAUAUUUAAGUGAUUCAAAGUCCUUACACUAUUUUAGCAAUGGGCGUUGUUCUUGUGGCGAUUAUUGGUAGGGGAAAAAUAGAAUGUGGAAGUUGUAAAGUUUCGUAUCACUUGAAAUGGAGUUUUGUUGAAGUGAUCUUACCAUGUUCUAAAGUGAAAAUGGGGUCACGCAAAACAGAGAUUGUAAUAUAUGCACUUGGACAUGGUACUGACAAGGAGACUUGUGUCUAACCCUUCCUGUUUGCUGCAUUUUGUUGACAGAAUAUGCAUUUGGAGAAUCUCUAUAAAUUAGACUAGAUUCUCUCCUUUUGGGUCAAUAUUGGAGCUUCGAAUCAUGUUCGUGAAUGCUAUGAAGUCUAUAUGAGGCCAUGACUGUCAUGAAAACCAGCACUGCGUUAUAUGAAAGCAAGCUGGUACUACCAGAAAGAAUAACAUUCCUGCUUAAGCAAUGAUCAAGGACCUUACCUCAAGCCGAUUCAGAAUUAUCAAAAUCACUACAACGUAGCUAUGGCUCACACACAGUACAGUUAUAUGACUGGUGGCGCUGACAUCCCUGCUGGCUACUCACUACUCCAAAACUGUGAUGUGUUUCUCGCUAUAAGACCCAAGGAUGACCCCAUUACUACAAACCCUGCAGCUUCAGUGCCCAACAAGCUCUUAAGGCGGUUUUCUAAUUCUGAGAAUCAAAGGAUGAUGGAAUCGCAUAUGCUAUAAGACCCAAGGAGGAGUUAGCCGCUACUACUAAACCUGCUACAGCACCCAACAAGCUCUCAGGAGAAGUAAGUGAUGGUAGAAGCAAACAAAAGUGUCAUCUCUGCUAAUUUGUGGAUUCAUGUUACGAUUUGAUUAAUUUGGUUUUGGAUGCCCAAAAAUUUCCAUAUUAACUGUUGACAUCGAUCAGCAUGUUUAAUUCUUCAGAUACCGAGUGGUGUGAGACCU